AAAAAUCCUCCCAAGCACCAAACAUACAGAUGUACGAAUAGAAGAUGAUUAUAAACGUGUUCCAGAAGCCAUUGCUUUCUACGAUAAAACAAAGUUUGGUGUGGACGUCGUUGACUAAAUGGCACGCAAAUAUAGUGUGAAAGCAGGGAGUUUCCGAUGGCCCCUUCAAGAAUUCAUAUUUUGUUUAGCCGAGGAAUUAGCUGGAGAAAACAAGGAGAACAUUUGCCAAAGGUCAGACGCUUCAUUUCUGUCACCUUCAAAGUCAGAAGUGCGAAAAAGUUGCCAAGUGGGUUAUUGCAAAAAAUAUAGAAGUAAUAAUUAUUGUAUAUAUUGCAAAAAGAUCGUAUGCGGAAAAUGC